rnacentral:rRNA from 1 species
AUUGAACGCUGGCGGCAGGCCUAACACAUGCAAGUCGAGCGGGGUUUUCGGACCUAGCGGCGGACGGGUGAGUAAUGCGUAGGAAGCUACCCGACAGAGGGGGAUACCAGUUGGAACGACUGUUAAUACCGCAUAAUGUCUACGGACCAAAGUGUGGGACCUUCGGGCCACAUGCUGUCGGAUGCGCCUACGUGGGAUUAGCUAGUUGGUGAGGUAAUGGCUCACCAAGGCGACGAUCCCUAGCUGGUUUGAGAGGAUGAUCAGCCACACUGGAACUGAGACACGGUCCAGACUCCUACGGGAGGCAGCAGUGGGGAAUAUUGGACAAUGGGCGCAAGCCUGAUCCAGCCAUGCCGCGUGUGUGAAGAAGGCCUCGGUUGUAAGCACUUCUAG